ensembl:lncRNA
UUUUUUUUUUUUUCUUAUUUGCCUGUGGCCUUUAGGACAGUCAGGUUUCCUCCAGCUGUGACAAACCAGGAAGUGGUGGACGGCAGUUGUUUCUGCUGCGCAGAACUGGUUCGGGGAAAGCCUGCAGUUCCUCCCUGUUGAGGAGGGGGCUCCUCCUACUAGGUUCACGCUAUAACUAUGACAGGGCCACAGGAAUGAAAGGAAGGCCGCUAGAGGAACAUUCGACAGGGACAGGAAGGCUCCUGCAGGGACACACACAGAGCAGGUGGGCCACCCUCUUGUGCUGUGGGGCCUUCCCAAGUAAGGAUGGAGAAUAAUUUUAUUUGCAGGCCUUGAGAGAGGCCCAUCCCCUCCACCGCCUCCGACUACCCAGCUGUCUCCUGACAUCAGAAAGAAGAAAGCCCUUGCCUCCGUCCUGUAGACAGAAGGAGGAUUUGGGGCUCUGGGCUCCCUGCAGGCAGCACCAGCACGCCCGCCCUGCUGUUGCAUUGCUUCAUAAAAAAGUGGGCAUGUGGAAAAUGGAGCAGGAACUGGCGCUUAGGCGGCAGUAUUUUCCAGAAUUCCCCAGAGCAGUCUUCCCACAACUCAUUAAUCUUUUGAAUUUGCAUUCAUAUUUGCUAAACAGCAAUGAAUCUGCAAAAGGUACCCAGAAAGGAGCCCUCUUUCAGAGCUGCUUUCCUCCCUGCUCUUGGCCGUGGUCACCUGCUCCACACCAUGUACCCUUCUCCACGGCCACACAGCAUCAAGGCCCCAGAGGCUUGUGAAUUUUCCCAGAGCGACACACUGCAACCCGAGGGUGAGGAGCCACAACCUCAAACCCUCCAAUAGGAUUUCCCCAUAUUCCACAACCCUGCACAGAACCUCACACAGUCACGAAGCCAUCUGGCUGCUCCCACCCUAGUUCUCUCUCCUCCCCACCCCAUGCGCUCCACCUGCCAACUUCCUUGUCUUCCUCUCACCUCUCUCAUCCAGAGUGUCUCUGUGCUGCUUCUUGUAACAUGAAGAGUUCCCUUACGUCAUAUCCUGAGUUCUUUCCUUCUUAGGCUUAAAAUAAACUCUACUCCCAGGCCUGCAAACUCAGCUUUCAAGAUGUAAAGUUAGCUUUUACAGUUAGAACUCCCUCUAUGUUUUUCCAGGUAACCACCCAUUCAUUCCUUAGAGGGACGAUCCUUCUGAUUGCAUAGAUUGGAAUCAAAAGCCUACAGUGUUUUAAAAAUUAAUUAUUUGAAAAAUACCUCAAAAAUGUUUGUUUCCUCCAUGGCACAAACAAUAGGGUUCACCCUAUACUACACGUUACAGGCCCUGCAGUCUAAUAGUGUGUUAACCAAUAGGUAGCUUUAGUUUUAAUAAUUUUUUCACACUGAUCAACAUUAACUGGAACGCUGGAAAAAAAAACUGACCACGAAGUGAGGCCUUAACCACCAGGGACGGCCUUGUCACACCAGGUGAGACCACCAGGUGAGAGCCCUGUCACCCCAGGCGAGCGUUUGACCACCAGGGACAAGUCCUGUCACCCCAGGUGAGAGCCCAUUGCACUAGGUGAGACUCCCUAAUCUGCAAAAGAUUUUGUGUCAGUGAUGAAGUAAUUAAACACCCUCGCCUGAGCGAUGGUAACACUCCGUGGAGGUUGAUCAUCUCCUUUGAAACGAAGCUGUCCUACCAUCUGCACCGUGCUUAUAGAAUUCAAUUCCAAAGUAUUUCACCACAGGGUGUCUUCUGUUUAUUUUUACUGCCGUUUUAUUUUCACUGCCAUUUAUUUCACUGCCAUUUUUUUUAAUGGCUGCAAUCUCCAAACAUCCACUUAGGAAACACUGGUCCUCUCAGAAAGACACAGCUGACAGCCUGAAGAGUGGUUUGUCUGAAGCCCUAAAAGUGAGCCAUCCAAAUACGCAUGUGUAUGUUUCUGUAAAAAUGGUGACUAGCUAAAAUUGAAAAGUAUUAGAGCCCCAAAACCUGUGUAUAUGUGUAUGAUGGAUGUCUGUAUAUACGUGUGUGUGUAUCAUUAUGUGUGUAUAUGUGUGUGCAUGUGUAUCAUUAUGUAUGUAUAUGUGUAUAUCUCAUUAUAUAUGUAUGUGUAUAACCAUGUAUGCAUAUCGUUAUGUACAUAUGCAUAUGUAUUAGAUGUAUACAUGUCAUUAUGUACAUAUGAUACCUGAACAUAUAAUGUGCAUAUGUGCAUAAUUAAGUAUGUAUAUGUGUAUGUGUAUAUCAUUAGGUAGAUACGUGUAUAUAUCAUUAUGUAUAUGUGUGUAUGUAUAUCAUGUAUAUAUGUAUACAUAUCAUUAUGUGUGUGUAUCAUUAUGUAUAUAUAUGUGUGUAUACACAUAUAUAAUGAAUCCAGGAAUUGCCUUUCUGAUAUAGAUGCACUGAAAGUUUUAUGCAUGUUAAAGCAAUUGGAAAUUGAAUCAGGACUUUUAUCUGAUUACCAAUAUAGGAAAUGAUUAUUGCUCAUUUAUGUUUUCUCAUGAGGUUCCUGUUUACAGGAUACGAUUCACUGGAAAAUAAUGCCAAGGGUUAUAAAAGCAAUUCACCGUGGAGUGUUGUUCUUUGUC